rnacentral:rRNA from 1 species
GACGAACGCUGGCGGCGUGCUUAACACAUGCAAGUCGAACGGUAAGGCCCUUCGGGGUACACGAGUGGCGAACGGGUGAGUAACACGUGGGUGAUCUGCCCUGCACUUCGGGAUAAGCCUGGGAAACUGGGUCUAAUACCGGAUAGGACCCUGGGAUGCAUGUCCUGGGGUGGAAAGCUUUUGCGGUGUGGGAUGGGCCCGCGGCCUAUCAGCUUGUUGGUGGGGUGAUGGCCUACCAAGGCGACGACGGGUAGCAUGCCUGAGAGGGUGACCGGCGACACUGGGACUGAGCUACGGCACAGACUCCUACGGGAGGCGGCAGUGGGGAAUAUUGCACAAUGGGCGCAAGCCUGAUGCAGCGACGCCGCGUGAGGGUUGACGGCCUUCGGGUUGUAAACCUCUUUCAGCACCGACGAAGCGCAAGUGACGGUAGGUGCAGAAGAAGGACCGGCCAACUACGUGCCAGCCGCCGCCGUAA